rnacentral:rRNA from 1 species
CCUACGGGGCGCAGCAGUGGGGAAUAUUGGACAAUGGGCGAAAGCCUGAUCCAGCCAUGCCGCGUGUGUGAAGAAGGCCUUCGGGUUGUAAAGCACUUUCAGUGGGGAAGAAAGCCUUGGGGCUAAUACCCUCGAGGAAGGACAUCACCCACAGAAGAAGCACCGGCUAACUCCGUGCCAGCAGCCGCGGUAAUACGGAGGGUGCGAGCGUUAAUCGGAAUUACUGGGCGUAAAGCGCGCGUAGGCGGUCUGAUAAGCCGGUUGUGAAAGCCCCGGGCUCAACCUGGGAACGGCAUCCGGAACUGGCAGGCUAGAGUGCAGGAGAGGAAGGUAGAAUUCCCGGUGUAGCGGUGAAAUGCGUAGAGAUCGGGAGGAAUACCAGUGGCGAAGGCGGCCUUCUGGACUGACACUGACGCUGAGGUGCGAAAGCGUGGGUAGCAAACAGGAUUAGAUACCCGUGUAGUC